GACGAACGCUGGCGGCGUGCUUAACACAUGCAAGUCGAACGGAAAGGCCCUGCUUUUGUGGGGUGCUCGAGUGGCGAACGGGUGAGUAACACGUGAGUAACCUGCCCUUGACUUUGGGAUAACUUCAGGAAACUGGGGCUAAUACCGGAUAGGAGCUCCUGCUGCAUGGUGGGGGUUGGAAAGUUUCGGCGGUUGGGGAUGGACUCGCGGCUUAUCAGCUUGUUGGUGGGGUAGUGGCUUACCAAGGCUUUGACGGGUAGCCGGCCUGAGAGGGUGACCGGCCACAUUGGGACUGAGAUACGGCCCAGACUCCUACGGGAGGCAGCAGUGGGGAAUAUUGCACAAUGGGCGGAAGCCUGAUGCAGCAACGCCGCGUGCGGGAUGACGGCCUUCGGGUUGUAAACCGCUUUCGCCUGUGACGAAGCGUGAGUGGCGGUAAUGGGUAAAGAAGCGCCGGCUAACUACGUG
rnacentral:rRNA from 1 species